GACGAACGCUGGCGGCGUGCUUAACACAUGCAAGUCGAACGGAAAGGCCCUGCUUUUGUGGGGUGCUCGAGUGGCGAACGGGUGAGUAACACGUGAGUAACCUGCCCUUGACUUUGGGAUAACUUCUGGAAACUGGGGCUCAUACCGGAUAGGAGCUCCUGCUGCAUGGUGGGGGUUGGAAAGUUUCGGCGGUUGGGGCUGGACUCGCGGCUUAUCAGCUUGUUGGUGGGGUAGUGGCUUACCAAGCCUUUGACGGGUAGCCGGCAUGAGAGGGUGACCGGCCACAUUGGGACUGAGAUACGGCCCAGACUCCUACGGGAGGCAGCAGUGGGGAAUAUUGCACAAUGGGCGGAAGCCUGAUGCAGCAACGCCGCGUGCGGGAUGACGGCCUUCGGGUUGUAAACCGCUUUCGCCUGUGACGAAGAGUGAGUGACGGUAAUGGGUAAAGAAGCACCGGCUAACUACGUG
rnacentral:rRNA from 1 species